ACGAUCUUUAUAGAGGUGACAGGCGCUUGCCUCGACAACAGAAUUUCUUUCGUCGGGAGUUAGUAGCGUGGAUGAAUGACGGAGGGGAUCAGGAAGUUGAUACUGAGAGUGCGUCAGUGCGCAUCGCGCCUUGUAGUAGAUCAAUAAGUGAUUUUGGCAGACAGUGCUCUCAGCCCACUUGACGAACACGCUGUUCUGCAUGCAUGGUGUUAAGUACUGUUUACAUGCACUAUACUACAGGCCUUGGCCUGGCUUUGGCCAGACCAAUGUAAAUGUGGCCCGUUUGCACCAUCACACUGGCAUUUUGAGACUGGCUCACUUUGGCCUCGAAUUUUGCAAUACAUUUUGUGUAGUUUUACGUGUUGUGACGUUGUCCGCUGGUUGGCCGUUAAUCUCGCACAACGCGGGC